rnacentral:pre_miRNA from 1 species
CGUGCACUGGUGGGGUCCCUCGGCCUGGCCUGUGCCCUCUCGCAAUCCAGGACUCCUUGGGGGAUGUCAGACUACCGGUUACGGCCCAGUCCCUGCAGGCCAGGCCGAGGGACCCCACCGGUGCAUU